UCCUCUAUGGCGCAAUUGGCAGCGCGUCUGACUGUUAAUCAGGAGGUUGGAAGUUCGAACCUUCCUGGAGGAG